ACUGCUGCCCAAGAGUCUAUUAAAGACCGUUUCCAAGACCAAACCAUGUCAUCCACAGUCUCUAUUGAAGAGACCAGAGAGAGACCAGAAGUCCAGUCCUGCAAUAUAACAUCAGGCAGGUCUGCUUGUGAGCAAAAUAGUGCAAGCAUCCCUUCUGGCCAACACUCCGUUUCAGAGCUUGGUGACCACGCCCAUGACUUGGAACCCAAUGUUUUCUCUACAGACUUAUUCAGAG